rnacentral:misc_RNA from 1 species
AAAGUAGAUCCUCAUCAUCCAUGUUAUAUAAGGUGAUUAUUGAUAUCAAUUGAUGGUUUCAAAGCUCUCAUUGGUUAGACUCCACGGUCUUGGGAAGAAAAGGAACGAUAAGGUAUGGUGUUACAUGGAGCUUUGUGGUGGAUUAUGAAUAGGAGGAGCUUGUCCAAAUGGAUGAACCAUGCCCUUGAUCAACAUCUCAAAAAGGCUAAGUGAUGGUGGAUUAUGAAUAAGCAUAACUUCUCCAAAUGGAGAAACAAGAUCCUCGAUCAAGAUCCCAGAAAGGCUAAGUGAUAGUGGAUUAUGAAUAAGUGGAGCUUAUCUAGAUGGAGGAAGGCGAAGCUUAUCCAGAUGGAGGAACAAGACCCUUGAUCAAUAUUCCAAAAACGCUAAGUGAUGAUGGAUUAUGAAUAGGCAGAACUUGUUCAGAUGGAGGAGCAGGACCCUUGGUCAAUAUCGUAGAAAGGUUAAGUGAUUGUGGAUUAUGAAUAGGUAGAGCUUAUCAUGAUGGAGGAAUAGAACCUUCGAUCAAUAUCCUAUAAAAGUUAAUAUGUCAUGACCCGAUCCCAUGGGCCGGACCGGCACUAAGAUAUGGGCAGAUAUAAAGCCCCCGAGCCUCGUAAUAAGUCUUACUGUUCCCAAAUCCAUAAUCAAGGCCCAAAAACUGAGGGUCAACAUGUAAAUAAAAUAAAAAUAAAAUAUUUUAUUUUAAUUCGGAUCAACCCAACCCAAUAAAUAUCAGCUACUAAAGCAA